UGGCCUUCCUGGUUUGCUGCGCGUGCUUUCCGCUCUAGGACACAGCAGUGACUCCUGCAGCCAGAAGCCCGGAAGUGACCUGCCAAAAAGGGACUCAAAGAGAAGAGAAAGAACCCGGCUCAUGAGCCGCUGCGUCGGCUUAUGGACCGUCCCUCCAAAUUCCGGAAGUCUGGCUGAUGUUCGUUCCUGGAAGAUUGUACCCGUAGAAACCAUCACCACAGAAGUGGCUCUGCCAACAUGACCUGUGAUUAAAUCUUCUUAUUGGAAGGUCCUAGAAGACCAUGUAAGAAGACGACACUGGACCAUUUGUUUCAAACUGUAGAUGUUCUGUGGGCCUCGUGGUCACUGUUCUAGAAGUGUUUUUCAUCAUUUGGGCUGCCAUCAGCACCCAGGAGAUGGGAACUCUAGCUGGAUGACAAGGCAACAAGACAAAUCUCUGUGCGGAGCAGUAGAGCGGUCAAGGAGAGGAAUGAUUUAGAAGGCAAAUGGCAGCACAAGGAAACUCAAUAGCUAGAGUCCAAUAACUGGGGUGAAAAGUGGACUCAGAAAGGAAGGGGUGGGUUGGAAUGCAGAAUGUAGGCUUGACCUUCUCUGCAGCUUUGCCUGGGGCCCUGGUGACAGCUCUUCACUCUCCAACUUCUCUACACGCUUGCCAACAGGGCGCUUUGGAAAGUACAGAGCACACCUUCCGUGAUUUCUCCUAGUUUCCACUAUUGAAACACUCUGACUCCUUAUUAUGUUUUUCUUAUUCUUUCCAGUGGAAAAGAAAAAAGGGACAA